rnacentral:rRNA from 1 species
UACGUAGGGGGCGAGCGUUGUCCGGAAUUAUUGGGCGUAAAAAGCGUGUAGGCGGUUCGGUAAGUCUGCCGUGAAAACCUGGGGCUCAACCCCGGGCGUGCGGUGGAUACUGCCGGGCUAGAGGGUGGUAGAGGCGAGUGGAAUUCCCGGUGUAGCGGUGAAAUGCGCAGAUAUCGGGAGGAACACCAGUAGCGAAGGCAGCUCGCUGGGCCAUUCCUGACGCUGAGACGCGAAAGCUAGGGGAGCGAACAGG